CCGCGGUAGCACGCCGUCGACGAGUGCCUAGAGCUUCUCCAGCUCCUCCAGUUGUUCGUCGAGCUAGUCUACCCAAUGUUAUAACCUUGAGCCAACCAACUACUUAAGAAUCGGUUCAGUUUACAUAGUUUGACACGACUGAAGUUCCUCUGACGACUAUGAUAUCGUUUCGAACCCAAGUUUUACAAGGACCCGCACUGACGUUGACAUUGGUUAACCCUACGACUCCCAUGUUGAACGUCGAAACAUAACCUCCUGUUGGGUGAACAUCUAAAACAACUCGAAGGACUAUGAACGGUUCCAGAAGUCAUAACGUUACACAACUCACCUCAAUAGUCCCCUCGUGACCUUUACCAAAGGUACUUCUGCCUCCAAUGUACCCAGGCACUAUACGAAGCGCCCCUACUACGGAUGCUCUACGCCCACUUCGAGUGGUUCGUUCAGGGUCUCCUUAUGGGGAUGUUCCUACUACUGAUCAAAGUAGAGUUCCCCAUCGAGAAGGCGUUCCACCGCGAACAAACGAACAGACCUAUAGGCAAAACGAAAGGGACACCGACAUUAAGACCAUGUUGGCAGUACAAAUGUACUCCUUGGACAAGUAACAUAAAACGUCGACCUGACACAUGGCGUCUACAUAACAUCUCUAGAACAUACCGAAAGGACGAAACCUUGUCACGGACCUUUACUUCACAAAAAUGAGACUAAUCGACGGUUUAGAAAAACCUUAUUUGACCAGACCUUUUCUAGAAGGCCUCGAGUAGCUGUUUCGUAAAAGCCGAUACUUCAAUAUGUGAAGAGUCUAAUUUUUGAAGACAUUGAACUUCAAGAUCUAAACAGGAUACAGUCUGGAAAACUUUAAACUGGUUCAUAUG
rnacentral:rRNA from 1 species